rnacentral:rRNA from 1 species
ACGGAAGGUAGCAGUGGGGAAUAUUGGGCAAUGGGCGAAAGCCUGACCCAGCAACGCCGCGUGAAGGAAGAAGGUCUUCGGACUGUAAACUUCUUUUAUGAGGGACGAAGGACGUGACGGUACCUCAUGAAUAAGCCACGGCUAACUACGUGCCAGCAGCCGCGGUAAUACGUAGGUGGCAAGCGUUAUCCGGAUUUACUGGGUGUAAAGGGCGCGUAGGCGGGAAGGCAAGUCAGAUGUGAAAUCCAUGGGCUCAACCCAUGAACUGCAUUUGAAACUGUUUUUCUUGAGUGCUGGAGAGGUAGACGGAAUUCCUUGUGUAGCGGUGAAAUGCGUAGAUAUAAGGAAGAACACCAGUGGCGAAGGCGGUCUACUGGACAGUAACUGACGCUGAGGCGCGAAAGCGUGGGGAGCAAACAGGAUUAGAUACCCUGGUA